GACAAUGAAGAGCCAGCACCAAGCAGCAGCCAUGAGCCCAGAACUCCAGAGUGGGCAGGUCUGUCGUAAACUAUAUGUGGUUUGCCUGUGCAACAAGUAAGGGGGACGUCGAGUCCAUUCCACACCAUGUGUGUAAUGAGCCUGAAUGGACAGAUGAUGACGGAGAACAGCAUUGGUGUGACCAUGCUCCUCUAACAGCCCAGGAGCAAAAGAAGCGCAUGUAGAUGAAGAAGGAUUCUGUGGCAUUUCAAGACCUGUUAUCGCUGGUCCUUGACAAAAGGCUUCUGAGAGACAUGGAAAA